GUUUGAUUCAUUACUCAGAGAUACAGACCCAAUGUAUACUCAGAAAUGGUCAUAAAGAUCUCUCUCACCUAAUAAACUAUUACUUUAUACAUUAGAAUUACCAAAAAAGUUAUUAUAAUAACUAACAGUAUAGCUAUAACACUUGCAGCAUGGAGACCUGAACUUAAAGCAAUUCUCAACUAAGUCUUGAAUACAAAAUGCAUAGGAUUUAACAGAUUUUUCCAAUAUAUUGCAAUGGGUUGGUCCUAAACUCUUCUUCUUGUUUAAGUGGAAACUCAGGGGAACUCUUUCAGGAAAGCAUCAGUGGAAAAAUGGAAUUCUGGAUUAAAAAAAAUAAAGUUUUAGGAAAUUUGAGUCACAGGAGAAAAGAGGUCAUCUUAUUGGGAAAGCAAAGGAGGUACAAUUAUUUCCUUCCAUGAAACUGUCCUCUCCAUUUAUAACAAGGUAUGACUUUGAGGGCCAAGUACAGCCGGAGCAGACUUAUGGAAAAAGAAGCCUGAUGAGUAGUCUAGCCUGUACUGGAGUUCAGAUUUUACACGACAGCAACAAAAUAAAAUUUUCAAACAAUACACAUGAGGAUUUUGGAGCAAAAGACUUAACCAGCAUUCAUUCAACAAAUAUUUAAUAUGGAAGUCAUAUUCUAGAGUGUAUAGAUGAAAGAUAUGUUAGAAAUGAUAAAUGCCAC
rnacentral:lncRNA from 1 species